rnacentral:rRNA from 1 species
AUUGAACGAUAGCGGGAGGCUUUACACAUACAAGUCGAACGGAGUGGAGGACGGGGGAGUAAUAUAUGGGAAAGUGCCCAGUAGGGGGGGAUCACUACGCGAAAGAGUGGCUAAUAACGCAUACUAUUGGACCGGGCGAUAGCUGAGUCGCUAGGUGGUGGGGUAAAGGCUCACCAAGGCCACGAUCCGUAGCUGGUUUGAGAGGACGACCAGCCACACUGGGUCGGAGACACGGCCCAUAUACCGACGUGAGACAGCAUGGUGAAAGUUUGGACCAUGGGGGACGCCCAGAUCAAGCCAUCAAGCGUGUAUGCUGAAGGCCUCCGGGUUGUAACGUACUUUCGGCAGAGUAGCGGGAGCUGCAGAAUAAGCUCCGUCUAACUAAGUGCCAGCAGCCGCGGUAAUUC